CAAGUACUCCCUCCAUCCGGAAUUACUUGUCACAAAAAUGGAUGUGUCUAGAACUAAAAUACAUCUAGAUACAUCCAUUUCAAUGACAAGUAUUUUCGGAUGGAGGGAGUACAAG
rnacentral:pre_miRNA from 1 species